rnacentral:rRNA from 1 species
AGAGUUUGAUCCUGGCUCAGGAUGAACGCUGGCGGCGUGCUUAACACAUGCAAGUCGAGCGAAGCAGAUAUGCGGAAUUUUUCGGAAGGAAGCGUAGCUGACUGAGCGGCGGACGGGUGAGUAACGCGUGGAUAACCUGCCUCAUACAGGGGGAUAACAGUUAGAAAUGACUGCUAAUACCGCAUAAGCGCACAGAGAUGCAUGUCUCAGUGUGAAAAGCUGAGGCGGUAUGAGAUGGAUCCGCGUCUGAUUAGCUGGUUGGCGGGGUAGAGGCCCACCAAGGCGACGAUCAGUAGCCGACCUGAGAGGGUGGCCGGCCACAUUGGGACUGAGACACGGCCCAAACUCCUACGGGAGGCAGCAGUGGGGGAUAUUGCACAAUGGGGGAAACCCUGAUGCAGCAACGCCGCGUGAGUGAAGAAGUAUUUCGGUAUGUAAAGCUCUAUCAGCAGGGAAGAGAAUGACGGUACCUGACUAAGAAGCCCCGGCUAACUACGUGCCAGCAGCCGCGGUAAUACGUAGGGGGCGAGCGUUAUCCGGAUUUACUGGGUGUAAAGGGAGCGUAGACGGCUGGUCAAGUCUGAAGUGAAAGCCCGGGGCUUAACCCCGGAACGGCUUUGGAAACUGAGCAGCUAGAGUGCUGGAGAAGUAUGCGGAAUGCGCGGUGUAGCGGUGAAAUGCAAAGAUAUCGCGCAGAACUCCGAUUGCGAAGGCAGCAUGCCGGCUCCACACUGACGCUGAGGCACGAAAGCGUGGGUAUCGAACAGGAUUAGAUACCCUGGUAGUCCACGCAGUAAACGAUGAAUGCUGGCUGUCCGGGGGGACUGACCCCUGGGUGGCGAAGCGAAAGCGAUAAGCAUUCCACCUGGGGAGUACGCCGGCAACGGUGAAACUCAAAGGAAUUGACGGGGGCCCGCACAAGCGGAGGAACAUGUGGUUUAAUUCGAUGAUACGCGAGGAACCUUACCCGGGCUCAAACGGGGAGUGACUCAGGCAGAGACGCCUGUUUCCCACGGGACACUCCCCGAGGUGCUGCAUGGUUGUCGUCAGCUCGUGCCGUGAGGUGUCGGCUUAAGUGCCAUAACGAGCGCAACCCCCGCGUGCAGUUGCUAACAGAUAACGCUGAGGACUCUGCACGGACUGCCGGCGCAAGCCGCGAGGAAGGCGGGGAUGACGUCAAAUCAGCACGGCCCUUACGUCCGGGGCGACACACGUGUUACAAUGGGUGGUACAGCGGGAAGCCAGGCGGCGACGCCGAGCGGAACCCGAAAUCCACUCUCAGUUCGGAUCGGAGUCUGCAACCCGACUCCGUGAAGCUGGAUUCGCUAGUAAUCGCGCAUCAGCCAUGGCGCGGUGAAUACGUUCCCGGGCCUUGCACACACCGCCCGUCA